AUGAACGCUGGCGGCGUGCUUAACACAUGCAAGUCGAACGAUUAAAGCUCACUUCGGUGAGUGUAUAGAGUGGCGAACGGGUGAGUAACACGUGGGAAACCUGCCCCUUUCUUCGGGAUAACUUCGGGAAACCGUUGCUAAUACCGGAUACUCCGGGAUGGUCGCAUGGCCGACCCGGGAAAGCUUUAUGUGGAAAGGGAUGGUCCCGCGGCCCCAUUAGCUUGUUGGUGGGGUAAUGGCCUACCAAGGCGAUGAUGGGUAGCCG
rnacentral:rRNA from 1 species